CCUACGGGUGGCAGCAGUGGGGAAUAUUGCACAAUGGGGGAAACCCUGAUGCAGCGACGCCGCGUGAGUGAAGAAGUAUCUCGGUAUGUAAAGCUCUAUUAGCAGGGAAGAAAAUGACGGUACCUGACUAAGAAGCCCCGGCUAACUACGUGCCAGCAGCCGCGGUAAGACGUAGGGGGCAAGCGGUAUCCGGAUUUACGGGGUGUUAAGGGCGCGUAGGCGGCGGGGUAAGUCUGAAGGGAAAGGCAGGGGCUGAACCCCUGAAGUGCUUUUGAAACUGCCAGGCUAGAGUUCAGGAGAAGUAAGGGGAAUGCUUGGGGUAGCGGUGAAAUGCGUAGAUAUGAGGCAGAACACCAGUGGCGAAGGCAGCUUACUGGACAGUAACUGACGUUGAGGCUCGAAAGCGUGGGGAGCAAACAGGAUUAGAUACCCUUGUAGUC
rnacentral:rRNA from 1 species